UUUAUGGAGAGUUUGAUCCUGGCUCAGGAUGAACGCUGGCGGCGUGCCUAAUACAUGCAAGUCGAGCGAACAGAUAAGGAGCUUGCUCCUUUGACGUUAGCGGCGGACGGGUGAGUAACACGUGGGUAACCUACCUAUAAGACUGGAAUAACUCCGGGAAACCGGGGCUAAUGC
rnacentral:rRNA from 1 species